GACAUAGGUGGCGAACGUUAUCCGGAAUUAUUGGGCGUAAAGGGCUCGUAGGCGGUUUGUCGCGUCGGGAGUGAAAUCCACUGGCUUAACUGGUGGCUUGCUUUCGAUACGGGCAGACUGGAGGUAUGCAGGGGAGAACGGAAUUCCUGGUGUAGCGGUGAAAUGCGCAGAUAUCAGGAGGAACACCGGUGGCGAAGGCGGUUCUCUGGGCAUGUCCUGACGCUGAGGAGCGAAAGUGUGGGGAGCAAACAGG
rnacentral:rRNA from 1 species